rnacentral:rRNA from 1 species
GACGAACGCUGGCGGCGUGCCUAAUACAUGCAAGUAGAACGCUGAAGGAGGAGCUUGCUUCUCUGGAUGAGUUGCGAACGGGUGAGUAACGCGUAGGUAACCUGCCUGGUAGCGGGGGAUAACUAUUGGAAACGAUAGCUAAUACCGCAUAAGAGUAGAUGUUGCAUGACAUUUGCUUAAAAGGUGCAAUUGCAUCACUACCAGAUGGACCUGCGUUGUAUUAGCUAGUUGGUGGGAUAACGGCUUACCAAGGCGACGAUACAUAGCCGACCUGAGAGGGUGAUCGGCCGCGCUGAGACUGAGACACGGCCCAGACUUCUACGUGAGGCAGCAGUAGGGAUUCUUCGGCAAUGGACGGAGGUCCGACCGAGCAACGCCGCGUGAGUGAAGAAGGUUUUCGGAUCGUAGAGCUCUGUUGUAAGAGAAGAACGAGUGUGAGAGUGGAAAGUUCACACUGUGACGGUAUCUUACCAGAAAGGGACGGCUAACUACGUG